rnacentral:tRNA from 1 species
CAUUAGAUGACUGAAAGUCAGUAAUGGUCUCUUAAACCACUUAAUAGUAAAUUAACGCCUACUUCUAAUGA